rnacentral:SRP_RNA from 1 species
GGUGACCGAGCCUGACGAACGGCUUCAGGCCGCCAAGAGAGCAUGGCAAGUGCUCGGGAGGUGGUGG